rnacentral:lncRNA from 1 species
CACAGGGAGCGCCUGAACUCGGAACGAGUUUGCCGGUUUUCUUCUUGGAUGGACAGAACGCAGUCGUUGGUGUUCCCGGUUGUCAGUGUGACAGUUGUGGAAGAACAGAGAAAUAAAGGAUCCUGAGACAUCGGCUGCCGUGGUGUCUCCCAAGUGCUAGAACUGCAGACGUGAGCCACCACACCCGGCUUUCAAGGUAAACCACAUUCAUUUGCUCGGUAGAACCUCCCCACUCCUGUAGGACCACAGUAGGCAUUAGUGGCUGUAUUUAACCCCAGUUGGUAAAAGUACCAAAACCUCCCUCACCUCUAAGAGUACCUUUCCUACUCUUAUUGCUUUGAAAAUAAAACAAAACGUAAAGAGUACUUGAUCUGGGUCUUCACUCACCAAACAUUUUAACACCCUCCUCCUCGUCCUCCUCCACCUUCUCUUCCUCCUUCUCUUCUCCCCUCUUACUC